UUUUGUCUGGUGGAAUACAAAAAGAUGUCACAGAGUUGGCAUUUGAAUUGGAUAUUGGAAGAUGAAUGGAAGUACACUAGCUGGAGAUGAAAAGAAUAUAAUGGACUGAGGAAAAGUUCCUUUCCUAAAAUCAAGAAAGCUGUAAAAGGCAUGGGGAUUUUAAUAAUUAUCUUCACUUGGAAUUACAU
rnacentral:lncRNA from 1 species